rnacentral:snoRNA from 12 species
UGCUCUGAUGAAAUCACUCAUAGGAAGUGCCGUCAGAUGCGACAGCUGACGAGAAUUCCUGGCUGAUG